rnacentral:rRNA from 1 species
GACGAACGCUGGCGGCGUGCUUAACACAUGCAAGUCGAACGGUAAGGCCCUUUCGGGGGUACACGAGUGGCGAACGGGUGAGUAACACGUGGGUAAUCUGCCCUGCACUUCGGGAUAAGCCUGGGAAACCGGGUCUAAUACCGGAUAUGAGUCCCGGCCGCAUGGUCUGGGGGUGGAAAGUUUUUCGGUGCAGGAUGAGCCCGCGGCCUAUCGGCUUGUUGGUGGGGUAAUGGCCUACCAAGGCGACGACGGGUAGCCGGCCUGAGAGGGUGAUCGGCCACACUGGGACUGAGACACGGCCCAGACUCCUACGGGAGGCAGCAGUGGGGAAUAUUGCACAAUGGGCGGAAGCCUGAUGCAGCGACGCCGCGUGGGGGAUGACGGUCUUCGGAUUGUAAACCCCUUUCAGUAGGGACGAAGCGCAAGUGACGGUACCUGCAGAAGAAGCACCGGCCAACUACGUGCCAGCCGCCGCGGUAA